CCCUGCCCUUCCACUUCCCUUAAGACCUGUGUGAUUUAAUGCAGUCAAUUUUCUCAUGAUAGCACUUGAUCUGCCCCAGGUAUGUGUACUGCUAAGAAUGCUUGGCAUGAACAUGCCAGGGGUUUCCAUCAGUGAAUGGGAAGGUUUAUGCAAAUAACACUGCACAGCACUGAGACAUUGAUGCUGAACCUUGACUUUUCCCUGUCUUUUGCUUUACAAUGCAAGUUGCAGAUGUCGGGAAAGGAGCUGAGCAGGAAGAGAAAGGGAGCCAGCACUGUGCUGGGGUCUUUACGCCUCACCGAAUCCACAACCAGUCCUGCAGCAGUAGAGAGCACAGAGAUGGCUGCACCACCUAGGUGUAAAGGAAUGCAUGGGAAGCUGGCUGAAACAACCUAGGAGCAAACUGCCUUCCACCCACAGCUGGACAGAGGUGCAUCCUGUGUUUUAGCCCCAGGGCUGCAUUAUGGAAGCCAGAUGGGUCAUUUUGAAAAGACCAAAACUGCCUUCUCUCUCAGGACAAGGCAACCCCAGCAGGUGAUGGAAGACACACCAGUGAAGGAUUUUGAGCAGGGCAGUGACACUGACCAUCAGAAAGCCUGGAAGAGCAUAUCCCCAGACAGAAGCAUGGAUCUAAGAUACCAACAGCAUCCCACACUCCGUUUGACUUUUGUUCACAUACAUUUCAGGUGUGUGACUUCCUCCAUUCACGGAUUGUCAGCUUCCAGAGGGCAGGAGCAUGUGUUCUUCUGAGUUCCCAGAGGUCCCUGACCUCACAGCUCAUGUGUCCUUGGUAUAGAGUCCACCUGCUUCUUUACACACAUGGCCUUGGGUGACACAAUAGCCUUGCUCUGGCAUUAGACUGGUCAGUUUCCUUCUCUGAUUUCACUAACCAGGAACUUUCUCAAAGAUCCAGUGCCUUUGCUGUAAUUAGGAAAAGGCCUCCCUCCCUCCGGUGCCCCUUCUCCAAAUGCACAUAGCCAGGGUGUGUGGCUGGGCAACAGAACACGGGCUGGUUCUCAGGCCCACUAAAUCCUUCAGGCAGGCACUCUUGGACAGAGUGUAGCCUGCACAGUCAUACCUGGCAGCCCUGUCUCUCCAGGUCAGGGACAGGAAGCACACAAAUAUUUGAAAACGACUGUUCGAAAUCCUUCAAGCCAAUACACAUGGGGUGCU
rnacentral:lncRNA from 10 species